CAUGGUUCAAGGAUGAAAGACGGUUUCGGCUGUCACUUACAGAUGGACCCGCGGCGCAUUAGCUAGUUGGUGGGGUAAUGGCUCACCAAGGCGACGAUGCGUAGCCGACCUGAGAGGGUGAUCGGCCACACUGGGACUGAGACACGGCCCAGACUCCUACGGGAGGCAGCAGUAGGGAAUCUUCCGCAAUGGACGAAAGUCUGACGGAGCAACGCCGCGUGAGUGAUGAAGGUUUUCGGAUCGUAAAGCUCUGUUGUUAGGGAAGAACAAGUGCGAGAGUAACUGCUCGCACCUUGACGGUACCUAACCAGAAAGCCACGGCUAACUACGUGCCAGCAGCCGCGGUAAUACGUAGGUGGCAAGCGUUGUCCGGAAUUAUUGGGCGUAAAGGGCUCGCAGGCGGUUUCUUAAGUCUGAUGUGAAAGCCCCCGGCUCAACCGGGGAGGGUCAUUGGAAACUGGGAAACUUGAGUGCAGAAGAGGAGAGUGGAAUUCCACGUGUAGCGGUGAAAUGCGUAGAGAUGUGGAGGAACACCAGUGGCGAAGGCGACUCUCUGGUCUGUAACUGACGCUGAGGAGCGAAAGCGUGGGGAGCGAACAGGAUUAGAUACCCUGGUAGUCCACGCCGUAAACGAUGAGUGCUAAGUGUUAGGGGGUUUCCGCCCCUUAGUGCUGCAGCUAACGCAUUAAGCACUCCGCCUGGAGGAGUACGGUCGCAAGACUGAAACUCAAAGGAAUUGACGGGGGCCCGCACAAGCGGUGGAGCAUGUGGUUUAAUUCGAAGCAACGCGAAGAACCUUACCAGGUCUUGACAUCCUCUGACAACCCUAGAGAUAGGGCUUUCGCCUUCGGGGACAGAGUGACAGGUGGUGCAUGGUUGUCGUCAGCUCGUGUCGUGAGAUGUUGGGUUAAGUCCCGCAACGAGCGCAACCCUUGAUCUUAGUUGCCAGCAUUCAGUUGGGCACUCUAAGGUGACUGCCGGUGACAAACCGGAGGAAGGUGGGGAUGACGUCAAAUCAUCAUGCCCCUUAUGACCUGGGCUACACACGUGCUACAAUGGACAGAACAAAGGGCUGCAAGACCGCAAGGUUUAGCCAAUCCCAUAAAUCUGUUCUCAGUUCGGAUCGCAGUCUGCAACUCGACUGCGUGAAGCUGGAAUCGCUAGUAAUCGCGGAUCAGCAUGCCGC
rnacentral:rRNA from 1 species